UGCGUAGGCGGCGAGGCAAGUCAGGCGUGAAAUCUAUGGGCUUAACCCAUAAACUGCGCUUGAAACUGUCUUGCUUGAGUGAAGUAGAGGUAGGCGGAAUUCCCGGUGUAGCGGUGAAAUGCGUAGAGAUCGGGAGGAACACCAGUGGCGAAGGCGGCCUACUGGGCUUUAACUGACGCCGAAGCACGAAAGCAUGGGUAGCAAACA
rnacentral:rRNA from 1 species